CUGAAUAAAUGAAAUUACACAAUUCUCUUUCAGCACUUCAAUCGGUAGAAAAAAAAUGUCACGUACCUGCUUGAGAACUACUUAACCGAGGCAGUCUGGUGGACAACAACAGCAACAAAUGCACCAAAUAGCAACAACAGCAGCACCCGAAAGGAAGCACCGAACUCAACAGCAGCAGCAACACCGGAACAAAAGCGUCUAGCUUAACAGCAGCAGCAACACCGAAAUUAUAGCACCAGCAACAAACCAAAAACGUAAUUACAGCUUUUUUUGUCGUAUCCGAUGCACCGGAGUUGCACUAGUCUUCACUUUACAAUCGUAACUACCACCAAAACAAAAAAUGAUGGCUCUUCGAUCGCACUAUGCACUUCGAUGCAUUUUUAAACUGGUAUCGGUGAAUGCUCUGAUCUCAGAUUUUUGGCUGUGGCACACACACAACGGUUGCUGCCUGGGCAAAAUGGAAGCUUUCGAUAGAUGUAUCGGUGUGUCAAUGUCACUGUUCCGUUUCACCGCGUUCCUUCCGUGCUCCCAAAGUGUAUAGGGGUGAAAUGAGUGUUGCAACAAAAGCUGUAGGAUAAGAUGAAUGGGAAAUUAUAAUUAUUGUUAGCUGCAAUUGUGUAAAUGAGAACCCAAGCCACUGGCACUCAAAAAAAAAACAUAAAACCGAAAUCUCUAAUCUCUUUA